rnacentral:rRNA from 1 species
CGUAGCGCACAGCUCAGUAACACGUGGCCAACCUGCCCUUGGGACGGAAACACCCCCGGGAAACUGGGGCUAAUUUCCGAUAGGUGAAGACUCCUGGAAUGGAUUUUCGCUCAAAGGGCGCCUAGGGCAUGCUCCUGGGCGUUGACCAAGGAUGGGGCCGCGGCCGAUCAGGUUGUUGGUGAGGUAAUGCCCCACCAAGCCUUUAACCGGUACGGGCCGUGGGAGCGGUAGCCGGGAGAUGGGCACUGAGACAAAGGCCCAAGCCCUACGGGGCGCAGCAGUCGCGAAAACUUCGCAAUAAGCGAAAGCUUGACGGGGCCAUCCCGAGUGCCAUCUGGUGGGGAUGGCUUUUACCCAGUAUAGAUAGCUGGGGUAAUAAGGAGAGAUCAAGUCUGGUGUCAGCCGCCGCGGUAAUACCAGCUCUCCGAGUUGUAGGGAUGUUUAGUGGGCCUAAAGCAUCCGUAGCCGGCUGGACAAGUCCCCUGUUAAAUCCAGCGACCAAUCGUUGGUCUGCGGGGGAUACUGUCCGGCUAGGGGGCGGGAGAGACCGUCGGUAUUCUUGGGGUAGGGGUGAAAUCCUAUAAUCCCAGGAGGACCACCAGUGGCGAAGGCUGUCGGCUAGAACGCGCCCGACGGUGAGGGAUGAAAGCUGGGGGAGCGAACCGGAUUAGAUACCCGGGUAGUCCCAGCUGUAAACGAUGCAGGCUAGGUGUUAGGGCGGAUACGUGCCGCUCUAGUGCCGCAGGGAAGCUGUUAAGCCUGCCGCCUGGGGAGUACGNCCGCGAGGCUGAACUUAAAGGCCA